rnacentral:tRNA from 1 species
GCCAGCAUGGUCUAGUGGUUUGAGCAUAAGACUAGGACUCUGGAGAUCUGGGUUCGAUUCUCCAAUGGCC